rnacentral:rRNA from 1 species
GAUGAACGCUAGCGGGAGGCUUAAUACAUGCAAGUCGAGGGGUAACGAUGGAGCUUGCUCCAGGCGACGACCGGCGAACGGGUGAGUAACGCGUACACGACCUACCUUUAAGUGGGGGAUAGCCUCGGGAAACUGAGAUUAAUACCCCAUAGUACUAUUGUUAUUAGAAGAUGAUAGUUAAAGUUCCGGCGCUUAAAGAUGGGUGUGCGUAAGAUUAGAUAGUUGGUGAGGUAACGGCUCACCAAGUCUACGAUCUUUAGGGGGCGUGAGAGCGUGGCCCCCCACACGGGUACUGAGACACGGACCCGACUCCUACGGGAGGCAGCAGUAAGGAAUAUUGGACAAUGGAGGAAACUCUGAUCCAGCCAUCCCGCGUGCAGGAUGACGGCCCUAUGGGUUGUAAACUGCUUUUAGAUAGGACGAAACGCCUAGAUUUAUCUGGGCCUGACGGUACUAUCAGAAUAAGCACCGGCUAACUCCG